ensembl:ncRNA T13H10.16 ncRNA
UACCCAAAAAGAAGACUUUGGAGCUCUCAAAAACCACCUAGUGUAUGGUAAAGUACAUGAGAAGUGACGUGUCUUUGGGCAGCUGGCCAUCUUUGUCGAUAUGCGGGUGAUGGUGUUU